rnacentral:rRNA from 1 species
ACGGGAGGCAGCAGUGGGGAAUAUUGCACAAUGGGGGAAACCCUGAUGCAGCAACGCCGCGUGAGUGAUGACGGUCUUCGGAUUGUAAAGCUCUGUCUUUGGGGACGAUAAUGACGGUACCCAAGGAGGAAGCCACGGCUAACUACGUGCCAGCAGCCGCGGUAAUACGUAGGUGGCGAGCGUUGUCCGGAUUUACUGGGCGUAAAGGGAGCGCAGGCGGAGAUGCAAGCAGUCUGUACAAUACCGGGGCCCAACCCCGGACCUGCAGACUGGACUGUUUCUCUUGGAUAGUUCAGGGGCAAGCGGAAUUCCUGGUGUAGCGGUGGAAUGCGUAGAGAUCAGGAAGAACACCGAUGGCGAAGGCAGCUUGCUGGGGACUUAUCGACGCUCAUGCUCGAAAGUGCGGGUAGCAAACAGGAUUAGAUACCCUGGUA